rnacentral:rRNA from 1 species
GACGAACGCUGGCGGCGUGCUUAACACAUGCAAGUCGAACGAAGUUGCGAACGGGUGAGUAACGCGUAAUCAACCUGCCCUUAAGAGGGGGACAACAGUUGGAAACGACUGCUAAUACCGCAUACUGAAGGCGGGGAUUGCGUCUGAUUAGCUGGUUGGAGGGGUAACGGCCCACCAAGGCGAUGAUCAGUAGCCGUACUGAGAGGAUGAGCGGCCACAGUGGGACUGAGACACGGCCCAGACUCACACGGGAGGCAGCAGUGGGGAAUCUUCCGCAAUGGACGAAAGUCUGACGGAGCAACGCCGCGUGAGGGAUGACGGCCUUCGGGUUGUAAAGCUUUGUUAAGCGGGACGCGGUACCGGACCAGAAAGCCACGGCUAACUACGUGCCAGCAGCCGCGGUAAUAC